GUAUUAUAAUAAAUCAUACAACUUUCAGCAACGGAUCUCUUGGCUCUCGCAUCGAUGAAGAACGCAGCGAAUUGCGAUAAGUAAUGUGAAUUGCAGAUUUUCAGUGAAUCAUCGAAUCUUUGAACGCACCUUGCGCUCCUUGGUAUUCCGAGGAGCAUGCCUGUUUGAGUGUCAUUGAAUUCUCAACCAUGUCUUGAAGACAUUGGCUUUGGAGUUGGGUGUUGCUGGCGGCGACAAGCUUGUCAGCUCUCCUGAAAUGCAUUAGCAAAAGGGCUUGCAAGUCUUUUGACGUGCACGGCCUUCGACGUGAUAAUGAUCGUCGUGGCUGGAGCGGUCAAGGACAUGCAUUCGGAAUGGUCCUUGUGCUUCUAAUCCACCUGCCCACAAUGGGCCAGCUUACUAGCUAGUCU
rnacentral:rRNA from 1 species